rnacentral:lncRNA from 1 species
GAACAUGUCGAUAGUCCAUCAAUCAUGUUCGCCCAUACAAUCAGGAUCUCGGUUUCCAUAAGUAGAACCUUCCAAGUAUACUUUGCCAAUCAUCGGAUCCUUAAUUUUCGAAUCAAUUAUGAUCAAAUAAAGGAUUCCGUUAUGUCAUAUCCAGCCAAGAGAUCUUCUCCAGUCGAUAAGGCCACAUCCUUAAUGAAAC